UACGGAGGGUGCGAGCGUUGUCCGGAAUCAUUGGGCGUAAAGGGCGCGUAGGUGGCCCGGUCAGUCUUUGGUGAAAGCGCGGGGCUCAACCCUGCGUCGGCCAGGGAUACUGCCGCGGCUCGAGCACUGUAGAGGCAGGCGGAAUUCCAGGUGUAGCGGUGAAAUGCGUAGAUAUCUGGAGGAACACCGGUGGCGAAGGCGGCAUCCUGGACCAACACUGACACUGAGGAGCGAAAGCCAGGGGAGCAAACGGG
rnacentral:rRNA from 1 species